rnacentral:lncRNA from 1 species
GCAUUCAGGCAGCGAGAGCAGAGCAGCGUAGAGCAGCACAGCUGAGCUCGUGAGGCAGGAGACUCAGCCCGAGGAAAUCGCAGAUAAGUUUUUAAUUAAAAAGAUUGAGCAGUAAAAAGAAUUAGAACUCUAAACUUAAGCUAAUAGAGUAGCUUAUCGAAAUAUUACUUAGUCUUAAUAAUCUAAGAAGAUCUUAAGAGAUAACAUGAAGGCUUAUUUAAACAGUUUGAAAAAGGAAAUGAGGAGAAAAGUAUUUGUACUGUAUAAUGGAGGCUGACCAGAGCAGUUUAGGAGAUUGUAAAGGGAGGUUUUGUGAAGUUCUAAAAGGUUCUAGUUUGAAGGUCGGCCUUGUAGAUUAAAACGAAGGUUACCUAAAUAGAAUCUAAGUGGCAUUUAAAACAGUAAAGUUGUAGAGAAUAGUUUGAAAAUGAGGUGUAGUUUUAAAAGAUUGAGAAAAGUAGGUUAAGUUGACGGCCGUUAUAAAAAUCCUUCGACUGGCGCAUGUACGUUUGAAGGCAUGAGUUGGAAACAGGGAAGAUGGAAGUGUUAGGCUAGCCGGGCGAUGGUGGCGCACGCCUUUAAUCCUAGCACUUGGGAGGCAGAGGCAGGCGGAUUUCUGAGUUCGAGGCCAGCCUGGUCUACAGAGUGAGUUCCAGGACAGCCAGGGCUACACAGAGAAACCCUGUCUUGAAAAAACAAAAAGGUUAGGCUAGUAUUUGGAGAAAGAAGAUUAGAAAAUGGAAGUGAAAGACGAAGAAGACAUACAGGAAGGUGAAGAAAAAGCUGUUAGAGAAGAUAGGAAAAUAGAAGACAAAGCAUCUUUAGAAGACAGAAAAGGUACUUAAAGGCACAGGUAGUAGGAAGCCGAAGAAUAGAAGAUAGAAAGAAGCAAGAUAGAAAAACAAAAUGGAAGUUAAGACAACUUUGGAUGCCAGCAUUCAAGAUAGGCAAAGAAGAUAAGAUUGAGGCCAAAAGGUUGGAUAAGAUAUAAAGUCAGAAGGAAAUUAUCUUUAAAGCCAUAAGUUCAAAUUUCUGAUGGAGCGAGCAGUUUAGAAGAGUCUUUAGACAGCCACAUACAAGAUUGAAGCUAGCAAUCAAAGCUACUAGGACUGAAGUAAAAAGUUAAGGCAGAAUGCCUUUGAAGAGUUAGAAGAAUAUUAAAAGCCUUAACUUGUAGCUUAAUUUUGCUUGAUGACAAAAGGACUUUUGAUAACAGUUUCAAGAUUGUCAGCAUUUUGCAUUGGACUUGAGCUGAGGUGCUUUUAAAAUCCUAACGACUAGCAUUGGCAGCUGACCCAGGUCUACACAGAAGUGCAUUCAGUGAACUAGGAAGACAGGAGCGGCAGACAGGAGUCCCGAAGCCAGUUUGGUGAAGCUAGGAAGGACUGAGGAGCCAGCAGCAGCAGUGCAUGGUGAAGAUAGCCCAGGAAAGAGUGCGGUUCGGUGGAGGAAGCUAGGAAGAAGGAGCCAUACGGAUGUGGUGGUGAAGCUGGGAAAGGGUUCCAGGAUGGUGGAGCGAGAGCGAGUUGGUGAUGAAGCUAGCUGGCGGCUUGGCUUGUCAACUGCGCGGAGGAGGCGAGCAGGCAUUGUGGAGAGGAUAGAUAGCGGCUCCUAGACCAGCAUGCCAGUGUGCAAGAAAGGCUGCAGGGAGAGCAUGCGGUGCGGUAACAUUCCUUGAGGUCGGCAACAUGGUGGUGGUUUUCUGUAACUUGGAUGGUCUGUCUAGAAUCCUAAAGGCAGAUGACUCAAGGGAACCAGAAAAAAGGAAAUCCACUCUCAGGAUAAGCAGAGCUCGCCAGGUUUACAGUUUGUAGGAAGUAGAGGAUGGAUGCUAGCUUUCACACUGAGUGUGGAGGAGCUGGCCAUGGCGGAAUUGCUGAUUUUCCACAGAUGCUAUAGUUGUGUUGACACACUGGGUUAGAGAAGGCGUGUACUGCUAUGCUGUUGGCACGACACCUUCAGGGACUGGAGCUGCCUUUUGUCCUUGGAAGAGUUUUCCCAGUUGCCGCUGAAGUCAGCACAGUGCGGCUUUGGUUCACAGUCACCUCAGGAGAACCUCAGGAGCUUGGCUAGGCCAGAGGUUGAAGUUAAGUUUUACAGCACCGUGAUUUAAAAUAUUUCAUUAAAGGGGAGGGGUAAAACUUAGUUGGCUGUGGCCUUGUGUUUGGGUGGGUGGGGGUGUUAGGUAAUUGUUUAGUUUAUGAUUUCAGAUAAUCAUACCAGAGAACUUAAAUAUUUGGAAAAACAGGAAAUCUCAGCUUUCAAGUUGGCAAGUAACUCCCAAUCCAGUUUUUGCUUCUUUUUUCCUUUUUCUUUUUUUGAGGCGGGCAGCUAAGGAAGGUUGGUUCCUCUGCCGGUCCCUCGAAAGCGUAGGGCUUGGGGGUUGGUCUGGUCCACUGGGAUGAUGUGAUGCUACAGUGGGGACUCUUCUGAAGCUGUUGGAUGAAUAUAGAUUGUAGUGUGUGGUUCUCUUUUGAAAUUUUUUUCAGGUGACUUAAUGUAUCUUAAUAACUACUAUAGGAACAAAGGAAGUGGCUUUAAUGACCCUGAAGGAAUUUCUUCUGGUGAUAGCUUUUAUAUUAUCAAGUAAGAGAUACUAUCUCAGUUUUGUAUAAGCAAGUCUUUUUCCUAGUGUAGGAGAAAUGAUUUUCCUUGUGACUAAACAAGAUGUAAAGGUAUGCUUUUUUUCUUCUUGUGCAUUGUAUACUUGUGUUUAUUUGUAACUUAUAAUUUAAGAAUUAUGAUAAUUCAGCCUGAAUGUCUUUUAGAGGGUGGGCUUUUGUUGAUGAGGGAGGGGAAACCUUUUUUUUUCUGUAGACCUUUUUCAGAUAACACCAUCUGAGUCAUAACCAGCCUGGCAGUGUGAUGACGUAGAUGCAGAGGGAGCAGCUCCUUGGUGAAUGAGUGAUAAGUAAAGGCAGAAAAAAUAAUGUCAUGUCUCCAUGGGGAAUGAGCAUGAGCCAGAGAUUGUUCCUACUGAUGAAAAGCUGCAUAUGCAAAAA